UAGAAAAAAAUCCUAAUGGUUUCCAAGA
rnacentral:sRNA from 1 species